rnacentral:rRNA from 1 species
GGUUAAGCGACUAAGCGUACACGGUGGAUGCCCUGGCAGUCAGAGGCGAUGAAGGACGUGCUAAUCUGCGAUAAGCGUCGGUAAGGUGAUAUGAACCGUUAUAACCGGCGAUUUCCGAAUGGGGAAACCCAGUGUGUUUCGACACACUAUCAUUAACUGAAUCCAUAGGUUAAUGAGGCGAACCGGGGGAACUGAAACAUCUAAGUACCCCGAGGAAAAGAAAUCAACCGAGAUUCCCCCAGUAGCGGCGAGCGAACGGGGAGCAGCCCAGAGCCUGAAUCAGUGUGUGUGUUAGUGGAAGCGUCUGGAAAGGCGCGCGAUACAGGGUGACAGCCCCGUACACAAAAAUGCACAUAUUGUGAGCUCGAUGAGUAGGGCGGGACACGUGGUAUCCUGUCUGAAUAUGGGGGGACCAUCCUCCAAGGCUAAAUACUCCUGACUGACCGAUAGUGAACCAGUACCGUGAGGGAAAGGCGAAAAGAACCCCGGCGAGGGGAGUGAAAAAGAACCUGAAACCGUGUACGUACAAGCAGUGGGAGCACGCUUCGGCGUGUGACUGCGUACCUUUUGUAUAAUGGGUCAGCGACUUAUAUUCUGUAGCAAGGUUAACCGAAUAGGGGAGCCGAAGGGAAACCGAGUCUUAACUGGGCGUUAAGUUGCAGGGUAUAGACCCGAAACCCGGUGAUCUAGCCAUGGGCAGGUUGAAGGUUGGGUAACACUAACUGGAGGACCGAACCGACUAAUGUUGAAAAAUUAGCGGAUGACUUGUGGCUGGGGGUGAAAGGCCAAUCAAACCGGGAGAUAGCUGGUUCUCCCCGAAAGCUAUUUAGGUAGCGCCUCGUGAAUUCAUCUCCGGGGGUAGAGCACUGUUUCGGCAAGGGGGUCAUCCCGACUUACCAACCCGAUGCAAACUGCGAAUACCGGAGAAUGUUAUCACGGGAGACACACGGCGGGUGCUAACGUCCGUCGUGAAGAGGGAAACAACCCAGACCGCCAGCUAAGGUCCCAAAGUCAUGGUUAAGUGGGAAACGAUGUGGGAAGGCCCAGACAGCCAGGAUGUUGGCUUAGAAGCAGCCAUCAUUUAAAGAAAGCGUAAUAGCUCACUGGUCGAGUCGGCCUGCGCGGAAGAUGUAACGGGGCUAAACCAUGCACCGAAGCUGCGGCAGCGACACUAUGUGUUGUUGGGUAGGGGAGCGUUCUGUAAGCCUGUGAAGGUGUACUGUGAGGUAUGCUGGAGGUAUCAGAAGUGCGAAUGCUGACAUAAGUAACGAUAAAGCGGGUGAAAAGCCCGCUCGCCGGAAGACCAAGGGUUCCUGUCCAACGUUAAUCGGGGCAGGGUGAGUCGACCCCUAAGGCGAGGCCGAAAGGCGUAGUCGAUGGGAAACAGGUUAAUAUUCCUGUACUUGGUGUUACUGCGAAGGGGGGACGGAGAAGGCUAUGUUGGCCGGGCGACGGUUGUCCCGGUUUAAGCGUGUAGGCUGGUUUUCCAGGCAAAUCCGGAAAAUCAAGGCUGAGGCGUGAUGACGAGGCACUACGGUGCUGAAGCAACAAAUGCCCUGCUUCCAGGAAAAGCCUCUAAGCAUCAGGUAACAUCAAAUCGUACCCCAAACCGACACAGGUGGUCAGGUAGAGAAUACCAAGGCGCUUGAGAGAACUCGGGUGAAGGAACUAGGCAAAAUGGUGCCGUAACUUCGGGAGAAGGCACGCUGAUAUGUAGGUGAAGUCCCUUGCGGAUGGAGCUGAAAUCAGUCGAAGAUACCAGCUGGCUGCAACUGUUUAUUAAAAACACAGCACUGUGCAAACACGAAAGUGGACGUAUACGGUGUGACGCCUGCCCGGUGCCGGAAGGUUAAUUGAUGGGGUCAGCGCAAGCGAAGCUCUUGAUCGAAGCCCCGGUAAACGGCGGCCGUAACUAUAACGGUCCUAAGGUAGCGAAAUUCCUUGUCGGGUAAGUUCCGACCUGCACGAAUGGCGUAAUGAUGGCCAGGCUGUCUCCACCCGAGACUCAGUGAAAUUGAACUCGCUGUGAAGAUGCAGUGUACCCGCGGCAAGACGGAAAGACCCCGUGAACCUUUACUAUAGCUUGACACUGAACAUUGAGCCUUGAUGUGUAGGAUAGGUGGGAGGCUUUGAAGUGUGGACGCCAGUCUGCAUGGAGCCGACCUUGAAAUACCACCCUUUAAUGUUUGAUGUUCUAACGUUGACCCGUGAUCCGGGUUGCGGACAGUGUCUGGUGGGUAGUUUGACUGGGGCGGUCUCCUCCUAAAGAGUAACGGAGGAGCACGAAGGUUGGCUAAUCCUGGUCGGACAUCAGGAGGUUAGUGCAAUGGCAUAAGCCAGCUUGACUGCGAGCGUGACGGCGCGAGCAGGUGCGAAAGCAGGUCAUAGUGAUCCGGUGGUUCUGAAUGGAAGGGCCAUCGCUCAACGGAUAAAAGGUACUCCGGGGAUAACAGGCUGAUACCGCCCAAGAGUUCAUAUCGACGGCGGUGUUUGGCACCUCGAUGUCGGCUCAUCACAUCCUGGGGCUGAAGUAGGUCCCAAGGGUAUGGCUGUUCGCCAUUUAAAGUGGUACGCGAGCUGGGUUUAGAACGUCGUGAGACAGUUCGGUCCCUAUCUGCCGUGGGCGCUGGAGAACUGAGGGGGGCUGCUCCUAGUACGAGAGGACCGGAGUGGACGCAUCACUGGUGUUCGGGUUGUCAUGCCAAUGGCACUGCCCGGUAGCUAAAUGCGGAAGAGAUAAGUGCUGAAAGCAUCUAAGCACGAAACUUGCCCCGAGAUGAGUUCUCCCUGAUCCUUUAAGGGUCCUGAAGGAACGUUGAAGACGACGACGUUGAUAGGCCGGGUGUGUAAGCGCAGCGAUGCGUUGAGCUAACCGGUACUAAUGAACCGUGAGGCUUAACCUU